UGGGGAAUUUUGGACAAUGGGCGAAAGCCUGAUCCAGCAAUGCCGCGUGUGUGAAGAAGGCCUUCGGGUUGUAAAGCACUUUUGUCCGGAAAGAAAUCCUUGGCUCUAAUACAGUCGGGGGAUGACGGUACCGGAAGAAUAAGCACCGGCUAACUACGUGCCAGCAGCCGCGGUAAUACGUAGGGUGCAAGCGUUAAUCGGAAUUACUGGGCGUAAAGCGUGCGCAGGCGGUUUGCUAAGACCGAUGUGAAAUCCCCGGGCUCAACCUGGGAACUGCAUUGGUGACUGGCAGGCUAGAGUAUGGCAGAGGGGGGUAGAAUUCCACGUGUAGCAGUGAAAUGCGUAGAGAUGUGGAGGAAUACCGAUGGCGAAGGCAGCCCCCUGGGCCAAUACUGACGCUCAUGCACGAAAGCGUGGGGAGCAAACAGGAUUAGAUACCCUGGUAGUCCACGCCCUAAACGAUGUCAACUAGUUGUUGGGGAUUCAUUUCCUUAGUAACGUAGCUAACGCGUGAAGUUGACCGCCUGGGGAGUACGGUCGCAAGAUUAAAACUCAAAUGAAUUGACGGGAUCAUAGCUGUUUCCU
rnacentral:rRNA from 1 species